rnacentral:sRNA from 2 species
UAAUUUUCAGUCGCAGUCGCAGUUUUCAGUCUCAAUGAGAAACUGAAAACUGUAACUGAAAACUGAUUACUU